rnacentral:rRNA from 1 species
GGGGAGGCUCGGGGGCGCCUCAGAGAGGGUGUGCCUCUUUUGGGGUCGGUUCACAGGUGGUGCAUGGCUGUCGUCAGCUCGUGUCGUGAGAUGUUGGGUUAAGUCCCGCAACGAGCGCAACCCUUGUUCACUGUUGCCAGCACGUUAUGGUGGGGACUCAGUGGAGACCGCCGGGGUCAACUCGGAGGAAGGUGGGGAUGACGUCAAGUCAUCAUGCCCCUUAUGUCCAGGGCUUCACGCAUGCUACAAUGGCUGGUACAGAGAGUGGCGAGCCUGUGAGGGUGAGCGAAUCUCGGAAAGCCGGUCUCAGUUCGGAUUGGGGUCUGCAACUCGACCUCAUGAAGUCGGAGUCGCUAGUAAUCGCAGAUCAGCAACGCUGCGGUGAAUACGUUCCCGGGCCUUGUACACACC